rnacentral:rRNA from 1 species
GACCGGGAUGGACUUACCGCUGGUGUACCAGUUGUCUCGCCAGAGGCAUCGCUGGGUAGCUAUGUAGGGAAGGGAUAAACGCUGAAAGCAUCUAAGUGUGAAGCCCACCUCAAGAUGAGAUUUCCCAUUUCUUUAAGAAAGUAAGAUCCCUGAGAGAUGAUCAGGUAGAUAGGUCAGAAGUGGAAGGCCAGUGAUGGUUGGAGCGGACUGAUACUAAUCGAUCGAGGACUUAACCAAAAA